UACGGGGGGGCAAGCGUUGUUCGGAAUUACUGGGCGUAAAGGGUUCGUAGGUGGCUCGCUAAGUCAGACGUGAAAUCCCUCAGCUUAACUGGGGAACUGCGUCUGAGACUGGCAAGCUCGAGUGCAGGAGAGGAACGCGGAAUUCCAGGUGUAGCGGUGAAAUGCGUAGAUAUCUGGAGGAACACCGGUGGCGAAGGCGGCGUUCUGGACUGCAACUGACACUGAGGAACGAAAGCCAGGGGAGCAAACGGG
rnacentral:rRNA from 1 species